AAAUUUAGGACCUACUAUACCAAAGAUAUCAUGCCGAGGAGAAAAAUAAGUGAUUUGCGGAUUGUUUGAGCUUCUGAAGAGCAUGAACAAGCAAAUAAUGA